rnacentral:rRNA from 1 species
CUACGGGUUGCAGCAGUGGGGAAUAUUGCACAAUGGGCGCAAGCCUGAUGCAGCAACGCCGCGUGGGGGACGAAGGCCCUCGGGUUGUAAACCUCUUUUAGUAGGGAAGAAGCGCAAGUGACGGUACCUACAGAAAAAGCACCGGCUAACUACGGUGCCAGCAGCCGCGGUAAUACGUAGGGUGCAAGCGUUGUCCGGAAUUAUUGGGCGUAAAGAGCUCGUAGGCGGUUUGUCGCGUCUGCUGUGAAAAUCCGAGGCUCAACCUCGGACCUGCAGUGGGUACGGGCAAACUAGAGUGCGGUAGGGGAGAUUGGAAUUCCUGGUGUAGCGGUGGAAUGCGCAGAUAUCAGGAGGAACACCAAUGGCGAAGGCAGAUCUCUGGGCCGUAACUGACGCUGAGGAGCGAAAGCGUGGGGAGUGAACAGGAUUAGAUACCCAGUAGUC